GUGCUCGCUUUGGCAGCACAUAUACUAAAAUUAGAACGAUACAGGGAAAGUUAGCAUGACCCCUGAGCAAGAUGACACACAAAUUCGUGAUGCGUUCCAUAUUUUU